CUGCGCUGCAAGUGGCAAUCGCGAUUAUUGGGCCUAAAGCGUCCGUAGCCGGAUAGGCAAGUCUUUGGGUAAAUCCUACGUCUUAAGCGUGGGAAUUCUAAAGAUACUACCUGUCUUGAGGCCGGGAGGGGCUAGAGGUACUCCUGGGGUAGGGGUAAAAUCCUAUAAUCCCAGGGGGACCACCGAUGGCGAAGGCAUCUAGCUGGAACGGGCCUGACGGUGAGGGACGAAACCCAGGGGAGCGAACCGGAUUAGAUACCCGAGUAGUCC
rnacentral:rRNA from 1 species